rnacentral:rRNA from 1 species
UACGAAGGGGGCGAGCGUUGAUCGGAAUUACUGGGCGUAAAGCGUGCGCAGGCGGCUUUGUAAGACAGAUGUGAAAUCCCCGGGCUUAACCUGGGAACUGCGUUUGUGACUGCAAGGCUGGAGUGCGACAGAGGGGGGUGGAAUUCCCAGUGUAGCAGUGAAAUUCGUAGAGAUGUGGAGGAACACCGAUGGCGAAGGCAGCCCCCUGGGUUGACACUGACGCUCAUGCGCGAAAGCGUGGGGAGCAAACAGG